GCAUUACAAGGUGAAGCGGGAGGGCCCCAAGUACGUGAUCGAUGUGGAACAGCCGGUGAGCGUUGGGCCAGAGUCCCUAGAAGUGACUUUGUGGGGUCCGCGUCCCUUCUCCAGCAGCCUGACCGCUCCCCCAUCUGCCCCCAGUUCUCUUGCACCUCCCUGGACGCCGUGGUCAACUAUUUCGUGUCGCAUACCAAAAAGGCGCUGGUGCCAUUCCUGUUAGACGAGGACUACGAGAAGGUGCUAGGCUACGUGGAAGCCGAUAAGGAGAAUGGCGAGAAUGUGUGGGUGGCGCCCUCCGCUCCGGGCCCAGUGGCUUCCUCUAGUUGGCCAGUCAUCCUGAAGCCAAAGAAGUUGCCAAAGCCUCCUGCCAAGCUUCCAAAGCCACCCGUUGGACCCAAGCCAGGUUGGGGUCCCCCCCAUAUCCCACCCUCACCUGAUGGCAGGCCAGCCUCAGCCCUCAUCUGACUUUUUUUUUUUUUUUUGAGACAGUCUCACUCUGUCGCCCAGGCUGGAGUGCAGUGGCACAACCUUGGCUCACUGCAAGCUCCGCCUCCUGGGUUCACGCCAUUCUCCUGCCUCAGCCUCUCCAGUAGCUGGGACUACAGGUGCCCGCCACCAUGCCCAGCUAAUUUUUUUUUUUGUAUUUUUAGUAGAGACGGGGUUUCACCAUGUUAGCCAGGAUGGUCUUGAUCUCCUGACCUCGUGAUCCGCCCACCUCGGCCUCCCAAAGUGCUGGGAUUACAGGCGUGAGCCACCGCACCCAGCUCAUCUGUCUUUAUUGUUGUUUUUUGUUUUGAGAUGG
rnacentral:lncRNA from 1 species